rnacentral:rRNA from 1 species
AUUGAACGCUGGCGGCAGGCCUAACACAUGCAAGUCGAGCGGAGGAAGUGAGCUUUCUCCUGGAUUCAGCGUCGGACGGGUGAGUAAUGCCUAGGAAUCUGCCGUGUAGUGGGGUAUAACGUCCGGAAACGGGCGCUAAUACCGCAUACGUCCUGAGUGGGAAACUGGGGGAUCUUCUGACCUCACUCUAUCAGAUGAGCCUAGGUCGGAUUAGCUAGUUGGUGGGGUAAAGGCCUACCAAGGCGACGAUCCGUAACUGGUCUGAGAGGAUGAUCAGUCACACUGGAACUGAGACACGGUCCAGACUCCUAAGGGAGGCAGCAGUGGGGAAUAUUGGACAAUGGGCGAAAGCCUGAUCCAGCCAUGCAGCGUGUGUGAAGAAGGUCUUCGGAUUGUAAAGCCCUUUAAGUUGGGAGGAAGGGCAGUAAGCUAAUACCUUGCUGUUUUGACGUUACCAACAGAAUAAGCACCGGCUAACUUCGUG